rnacentral:lncRNA from 1 species
UUAAAUGGAGGGACCGUGCCAAUCUUCUUGUACCAAAAAGGGCUCACAGAUUCUGAUACCAAGUUCGAUCAAAAUUGGAUUUUUCUUUCUCACAAUAGAGAAAAAUUAAUGGAAUUCUUGACACAAGCGGAGCGACAAUUAGUAGAAGUUAACCAAGGCAAUUUCAAGAUUGUAACAAUUGAUUCGAAAGGUAAAUACUAUAUGUUGCAUAUGAGGAGGUGGGGUACUCUAAAAAUGGUUGUGCUUAAAAAAGAUUGGAGUAAAUUGGUGAAAACAAACAAUUUGGAAGAAGGAGAUUGGAUUCAACUGUGGGGAUAUCGCCAAAAUUCCCAAUUUCAUUUGGCUUUCAAUAUAAAAAAGCGGCAAAAAAGGUCACACAUGGUGAUGAUGCAAGCAUUAGCAAUGUUGAUGGCAAUGGCUGUAGCAGUAGUGGUGGUGCAAGGGGUAGUAGCCGCGGUUUUAGCUCAAGUAUCGUCUCCGAGGAAUAGAAGAUAAUAUGCAUGAGUGAUAGACUCGAAAUUUUACUAUUUUGGGCAUGAUCUAGUACUGAUUAUAUUUGAACUAGAUGGGUUUAGACAUGUUUUUAGUAUUGAGUCCUG